GGGGCAGGGGCGGCAGGCUACCAUGCAGUCGAGCGGUAGCACAGAAGAGCUUGCUCUCUGGGUGACGAGCGGCGGACGGGUGAGUAAUGUCUGGGAAACUGCCUGAUGGAGGGGGAUAACUACUGGAAACGGUAGCUAAUACCGCAUAACCUCGCAAGAGCAAAGAGGGGGACCUUCGGGCCUCUCGCCAUCAGAUGUGCCCAGAUGGGAUUAGCUAGUAGGUGAGGUAAUGGCUCACCUAGGCGACGAUCCCUAGCUGGUCUGAGAGGAUGACCAGCCACACUGGAACUGAGACACGGUCCAGACUCCUACGGGAGGCAGCAGUGGGGAAUAUUGCACAAUGGGCGCAAGCCUGAUGCAGCCAUGCCGCGUGUGUGAAGAAGGCCUUCGGGUUGUAAAGCACUUUCAGCGAGGAGGAAGGCGGUAAGGUUAAUAACCUUAUCGAUUGACGUUACUCGCAGAAGAAGCACCGGCUAACUCCGUGCCAGCAGCCGCGGUAAUACGGAGGGUGCAAGCGUUAAUCGGAAUGACUGGGCGUAAAGCGCACGCAGGCGGUCUGUUAAGUUGGAUGUGAAAUCCCCGGGCUUAACCUGGGAACUGCAUUCAAAACUGACAGGCUAGAGUCUUGUAGAGGGGGGUAGAAUUCCAGGUGUAGCGGUGAAAUGCGUAGAGAUCUGGAGGAAUACCGGUGGCGAAGGCGGCCCCCUGGACAAAGACUGACGCUCAGGUGCGAAAGCGUGGGGAGCAAACAGGAUUAGAUACCCUGGUAGUCCACGCUGUAAACGAUGUCGAUUUGGAGGUUGUGCCCUUGAGGCGUGGCUUCCGGAGCUAACGCGUUAAAUCGACCGCCUGGGGAGUACGGCCGCAAGGUUAAAACUCAAAUGAAUUGACGGGGGCCCGCACAAGCGGUGGAGCAUGUGGUUUAAUUCGAUGCAACGCGAAGAACCUUACCUACUCUUGACAUCCAGAGAAUUAGCUAGAGAUAGCUGAGUGCCUUCGGGAACUCUGAGACAGGUGCUGCAUGGCUGUCGUCAGCUCGUGUUGUGAAAUGUUGGGUUAAGUCCCGCAACGAGCGCAACCCUUAUCCUUUGUUGCCAGCGAUUCGGUCGGGAACUCAAAGGAGACUGCCGGUGAUAAACCGGAGGAAGGUGGGGAUGACGUCAAGUCAUCAUGGCCCUUACGAGUAGGGCUACACACGUGCUACAAUGGCGUAUACAAAGAGAAGCGACCUCGCGAGAGCAAGCGGACCUCAUAAAGUACGUCGUAGUCCGGAUUGGAGUCUGCAACUCGACUCCAUGAAGUCGGAAUCGCUAGUAAUCGUAGAUCAGAAUGCUACGGUGAAUACGUUCCCGGGCCUUGUACACACCGCCCGUCACACCAUGGGAGUGGGUUGCAAAAGAAGUAGGUAGCUUAACCUUCGGGAGGGCGCUACCACUUUGGGUUCCGGGG
rnacentral:rRNA from 1 species